rnacentral:rRNA from 1 species
GACGAACGCUGGCGGCGUGCUUAACACAUGCAAGUCGAACGGAAAGGCCCUGCUUUUGUGGGGUGCUCGAGUGGCGAACGGGUGAGUAACACGUGAGUAAUCUGCCCUUGACUUUGGGAUAACUUCAGGAAACUGGGGCUAAUACCGGAUAGGAGCUCCUGCUGCAUGGUGGGGGUUGGAAAGUUUCGGCGGUUGGGGAUGGACUCGCGGCUUAUCAGCAUGUUGGUGGGGUAGUGGCUUACCAAGGCUUUGACGGGUAGCCGGCCUGAGAGGGUGACCGGCCACAUUGGGACUGAGAUACGGCCCAGACUCCUACGGGAGGCAGCAGUGGGGAAUAUUGCACAAUGGGCGGAAGCCUGAUGCAGCAACGCCGCGUGCGGGAUGACGGCCUUCGGGUUGUAAACCGCUUUCGCCUGUGACGAAGCGUGAGUGACGGUAAUGGGUAAAGAAGCACCGGCUAACUACGUG